rnacentral:RNase_P_RNA from 1 species
CGGGGGGAGGAGGUGAUCGCGGGCCGGUUGCGGCCGGCCUGAGGAAAGUCCGGACUCCACAGAGCAGGACGCUGGGUAACACCCAGGAGGGGCAACCCUACGGAAAGUGCCACAGAAAACAAACCGCCCGCCUGCCCGGCGGGCAAGGGUGAAACGGUGGGGUAAGAGCCCACCGCGGUUCCGGGUGACCGGACCGGCACGGCAAACCCCGUCCGGAGCAAUGCCAAAUAGGAGAGGGAGGCGUGGCUCGCGCCGCUUCGCCGGGUGUUUGUUGGAAGCCUGUUCAUCAUUUACAAACCCCGGCGGAAAACUCUCGGGUAGGCAGCUUGAGACCGUUGGCAACAACGGCCCUAGAGGAAUGAUCACCCUCGACAGAAUCCGGCUUAUACCUCCCCCCGGUUU